AACGAACGCUGGCGGCAGGCUUAACACAUGCAAGUCGAACGGGCGUAGCAAUACGUCAGUGGCGGACGGGUGAGUAACACGUGGGAAUAUGCCUUUCGGUUCGGAACAACUCGGGGAAACCCGUGCUAAUUCCGGAUACGCCCUUACGGGGAAAGAUUUAUCGCCGAAAGAUUAGCCCGCGUUGGAUUAGCUAGUUGGUGAGGUAAAGGCUCACCAAGGCGACGAUCCAUAGCUGGUUUGAGAGAACGACCAGCCACACUGGGACUGAGACACGGCCCAGACUCCUACGGGAGGCAGCAGUGGGGAAUCUUGGACAAUGGGCGCAAGCCUGAUCCAGCCAUGCCGCGUGAGUGAUGAAGGCCUUCGGUUGUAAAC
rnacentral:rRNA from 1 species